AUUGAACGCUGGCGGCAUGCCUUACACAUGCAAGUCGAACGGGAACGGGCCUUCGGGUGCCGACGAGUGGCGAACGGGUGAGUAAUACAUCGGAACGUGCCCGAUCGUGGGGGAUAACGAGGCGAAAGCUUUGCUAAUACCGCAUACGAUCUACGGAUGAAAGCAGGGGACCGCAAGGCCUUGCGCGGACGGAGCGGCCGAUGGCAGAUUAGGUAGUUGGUGGGAUAAAAGCUUACCAAGCCGACGAUCUGUAGCUGGUCUGAGAGGAUGAUCAGCCACACUGGGACUGAGACACGGCCCAGACUCCUACGGGAGGCAGCAGUGGGGAAUUUUGGACAAUGGGCGCAAGCCUGAUCCAGCCAUGCCGCGUGCAGGAUGAAGGCCUUCGGGUUGUAAACUGCUUUUGUACGGAACGAAAAGCCUUCUUUUAAUACAGGAGGGUCAUGACGGUACCGUAAGAAUAAGCACCGGCUAACUACGUG
rnacentral:rRNA from 1 species